UCCCUCUUCUUUCCACCGACCAUGAACUGCGCAGCUUAUUCGCCUGCGGCCACUGGGAUUUCGGCGGUUCGGGCACCCUUCGGGAAAGCGUUCGUUGCCGUAAAUCGAAUGGCUCUGACAAAGCAGCUGAAAUGCCGUCACCAGCAUCACAAGCACCGCGGUGCCACCGUCCCAUCCCCAGCGUGCUCCUCUACAGCGACUCCGAUCUCGCCAGCAGCCAGACACUGGAGGCAAAGCAGCACGACAAGCUGUGUGUGAGCAACGGCCCCUACAACCAAACUUUGGACAUCAGUCCUAAGGCUGGAUCCCACCCCCACGUCACUCCCACACCCCAGCAGGGACCCCGAGGAGCUGGACGGACCCGCGGGCAGGGAAGUGCUGUGAGAAGCUUUUAAGAAAGGACCUUGUGCCACUGAUCCCCACCAAGAGUUGGAGGUGCCGCGCUACCGAUGCCACACCACGGGAAUUUGCGUUUGCCACAGGGAAAACUGUCUGCUAGGAACUCAUGACCAUGGCAGGUACAGGUGGGACUGCAGAGGCGGCGUGGAAAGAAGUUGUAAGAGAUUACUCUUAUUUAUUGCUGGUAUAAGAGGUAUAAAGCUUUAAACGCCCCAUUCGCGGCAGAGAAGCGACUGUAAAGCGCCACAUCAAAUAGACCAGGGAGAGCUGCCGUGCUAGGAACAACCCGCCAUCAAUAAGUAUCCCAAUAUCCGCGCUGGCUGAAUUAAUCUUCCUUCCCCUCAGCCCAGGGGUUGUGUUGAUAAGCCCUUCAGCUGCGCUUGGGCUGCUCGGGUGUCUUUGUGCAGCGUCCCCCCCUCGGCGCACCCGCGCCGGCUGCCGGGAGCUCAGGAAGCAUGGAGUUAACUAAGUUUGCCUUUUCCUCCAUCCCAACAAUCGGAAUCAGCAGUUUGCAUUAUUUUAAAAAUGAAUGUUCAGAAUCAGCAAUUUUCUUCUUUUUUUUUCUUUCUUCCUUUUUUUUUUUUUUUAAAGAUCUUGAGGGUUUUUUUUAUUUAAAGUGGAAAACUACAUUAAGUGCAAGGCACUCAACAAAGAAACAGUCAUAAAGCCUAAGUAUUCUUAGAGUUAUAAAAUAUGUCCGUGGUGGCAAUUCGACUGCCAACAAUGAAGUUUUAAGCAUUAAUAUGCCUUCAUUGCAGUUUUAAUGCCUUAAUAUUGACUCUAUAGCUCUUUUGGGUAAUUUUGCUUUCUCUGGUACUUGAAAGGUGAUGAUGUCAGCGUUCUUCAUACUGAUUCAUAUGCAGGUUGAUGAAGCUGAGUUAUUUAUUGAGUUCCAUUAUAUUUUCUAUAAACAUUAGUUCUCAAUAAACAGAGACAUUUAGCCGAGGGUUUAUUUAUUAAAUAGGUACUGUACAGAUGGUUUUGCCACACAUGAUGUGCUGCAGAGGAUAUUACUCAGGAAUAAUCAGCUGUGUUAUAGCUUGGCUAAAUUAAUAAGAUGAUAAUGAUGAAAUUGAUGCUUUUGAGCUAGGCUUGGUAAAUGGUUUUUGCAUAAACAAACUGAUAAAUUUGAGAAGCAAUUACUUGCUUGUCAAAGAUAAAAACACAACAGGGCCCAUUUAUAGUUAGGUCCUAUUUAUUUUUAAAGAUUGUACCAGAUUUUAUGUUUAAUACGCUGCAAUUAAAAAAUAAUACUUAAAUGAAGAAUAAUAAAAAACUAACUUUCUGAGCUCUCCUUCAAAUUUGAAGAUGCAGCAUUGCUUGGUUAGACAUCAAGUAAACUUUUUCAAGGCUUUCACUACGUGGAGAAAAAAUAGAAUUGUUUUAUGAAAGAUGCUGUCUGCAGUUGUGCGACGCAGGCUCCGGCAGCGCUUUCUGUAGCAGUGCUUGCUCUAAAAUCAAGCUGGGUUUCGUGUAGAGAAAUAUAGUCUCCAAUUCUCUGUCUAGUGCUGGUUUUGCUGCCAGCAAACAAAACACCAACUUCAUGUAACUCUCCAAUAAGAGGAUGAAUUGUGUGUGUAUAGGUGUGUUUGUGUGUACAUAUACAUAUACAACAAAUACGGAUUGCUGCAGCGGUUCAGCCUGGAGAACCCGAGGCGGAGGGGAGACUUUCUCGCUUGCUACAACUACUUGAAAGGAGGUUGUAGCAUGGAGGGGGUUGGUUUCUUCUCCCCAGGAACAAGCGCCAGGAGCAGGGGAAACGGCCUCAAGUUGCACCAGGGGAGGUUGAGGUUGGAUGUGGGAACAAUUUCUUCCCCAAAGGGCUGUGGGACAUUGGAACAGGCUGCCCAGGGCAGUGCUGGAGUCACCGUCCCUGGAGGGUUGGACAGACGGACAUGAGGUUCUCAGGGACAUGGGGCAGUGCCAGGAGGGGGUUAUGGUUGGACUCAAUGAUCUUGAGGGGCUUUUCCAACCAAGAUGAUUCUAUGACUUGCCAGCUAACAAAUGUGUUAUGUGGAUCUAUAUACCAACCAGAGUAGCUUAUUUAUAUAGGAAAACCAAAUGGACAAGCGAAGGGCGGCCCUCACUUUACAGUGUCCGGUAGUUUCCAUCAGAGGCUCUGAAGGCACCUCAUGAACUUCUGUUUAGCUUUGUAACGUCCCUGGGAUGUCAGUGUUAUCACUCACGUCACCGCCGUCUCCUCGGCGGGAACAGGCAGGUCCUGUGUGCACCAGCAGGACAAUGAUGCUCCCAACAAUUUAUUUUACCGUUUUGUGCACUGAAGGAGGGCUCAGGCCUUCAAUUAAUUCAAAAAUACAGUGCAGAUCAACCUGCUCAGCUGGGAUAAGUGUGCAGGGACAGGGACUUCAUCACACUACCCUUCCAGGAACAAACGCAGUGUGAACUGACAUCCUGCUGCUGAACUGAAUUGUUUUUAGCGAGAAGGUGCUGAGCAGGGAAAGGCGAAGCCGUUUCCAUGCUGUGCUGCCACUUACCCAGGCCGGGGGGCGGUGUGAAAUGGAGCCGAUGCCUUUCGGCUGCACUGGUGGCUUCAGAGUGUAUCUUGGCAAAAGAUUUGGGUGGAAAAAAGAGUCUCUUCCUUUGAGCAUUGCCCAGUUUCUUGUGCUGAAAAGGGAAAAAACUGCAAAAAGUCAAAGUCCCUUCCGUGCUUUCAAAAUAAAAUUACUUUUAAAGUAUUCCGGGCAAUUUAAUGUAAAAAAUUAUAGGGUUUAUUCAGGUUUUGUUUUUUUUUUUUUAGAAAAUGCCAUGUUCAAAGAAAAUAUUUCUUUUUAAGUAAAACAAGCUUGCUCUCAGUGAAGAUUUUCUCCCCCUGCAGAGCUUUACAGCACCCAAAGAUAUUGUUGAUCAACAAGAACCGAGGCAGAAUUUUCCUAGAACAUUGUUGAAGUUUUUUCUUGCUUUAGACAAGGUCAGCACUGGACUUUGGGUUUGGUAAAAGAGUCAACUGGGCGCUGCCAUUGCAAGAAAACAAUUUACUUUGAAUAGAGAGAAACCUGGAGGGGCAGCUGCAGAUGCCUGGGCUUAGGAGUGCUGGCUGUGCCGUGCCAGCGUGGGCACCAAACUGCUUCAGUGUCUUGAGUCUGCCUUAAAACCCAGCGUAUGGCAGCGCUUUAAAUUAGAAUCAUCCAUUAGU